rnacentral:rRNA from 1 species
AUGAUUGAAACUUACAAUGUGGGUGAGGUGAAAAUUUUCCAAGACAUGUGGGAAGCAAGGAAAAAAUUUGUGCCAGUGUACUUCAAGACAAAGUUUUUCCCAUUCAUCCAAACAACAGCUAGGAGUGAGGGCACAAAUGCUUUGUUCAAGAAGGGGGUUGGUGCACAGUUCAGCAUGACAAGCUUCCUACGAGAAUACCAGAGAAUACUAGACAACAUCCAUGCAAAUGAGGAUGAGCUUGACCAUAAUGCAAAGCACAAAAAAGUUUCCUGGAAAUCAUUCAACACUAAGUACUACAUCGAGAGACAAGCACACAGCCUGUACAACAUAAGCAUCUUCAGAAAAUUUCAGCUCAUUCUGAAUGAUGUAACAAGACUGCAAACUAGAGAAGAGGAAAAAAUGAAACUAUACAUGGUGUACCAGGCAAAGAACUACUACAAACAAGAACACGAGACAAGGCUUUAUGUGGUGCAAGUGGAUACUGAGAAAGAAGAUUACUCCUGCAUUUGUUGCAAGUUUGAAAAGGAUGGCAUUUUGUGUUCUCAUAUUCUGAAAGUGAUGGUGCACCUUGAGGUGGAUAAGAUACCAGACAAAUACAUAAUAGACAGAUGGAGGAAACAAGGCAAGAAAAUGAAUAAACCCAAGGAGAUUCCACUCAUAUUAGAUAAUGACGAACUGAGAUACAAUGUCCUAGGGAUGAAGCUAAUGGGGCUUGGUUCAAACGCAUCAAAGAGUCAAAGGAAGUUUGAAUACCUGGUAUCAGAAAUGUUCAGGAUUCAACAACACUUAAUUGAUAUGGAUAGAGAAGGAGAAGAAGAGAUGGAUGGGCAAGGAGAACAAACAGAGGAGAGCAACAGAUCCAACAAGACAAUAGGCACACUGACAACUAUGGUGCAGAGUGGGGGCAGCAAUUCAACUGUUGGGCUAUUGAAUCCUGAUAAGGCACACACAAAAGGGCGCCCACGAAUGAUGACCAUACAAGAACGCAUAAAAACCAAGACAUUCUACAAGUGCAGCCACUGUAAUGAUCCGGGUCACACAAAAAGGAAAUGCACUAAUCUGGAUAAAGUAUACGAUAUCCCCAAAAAGAAGAGAUCUAGGAAGACAAACCAGCCAAGCACGGCUGAUGGAGGGCAAGGACGGCAGAAUGCUAGGAGGGAAAAGAACAAAGAGAUCUACGCUACCAACAUACCUACGGAUGAGGUCUCCCAACUGCAACAAUGA